UGGAAUAUACAGAGUUUGAAGGCUGUGUCAUCUUUUAUCAUUUGUCAAACUUAGUGUUUGUGGUCUAAGAUGCACUGGCUUGAUGUUUCUUCUCUGGCUGUGUUAUAGGACGCACAACAAGUUGCCUUCUCAAAUGCCUGUCCUAAAUUAUUUGCCAUGUGCUUUGCUGGGAUUCUGACUUCCUAUCACUUUGCCGCACGCUAGCGGGGAUGGUCCUGCUAUGUUAAUUUCUGCUACUUCUUGGAUAUCUGAUCUGAUCAUCCUUGUUCCCUUCUGAACACUUUCCAGUUCCGCUAUUUUCUUCCUGAGAGAGAGAGAGACCAGAACACA